CCCUGGUCAGCAUGCGUGGAAGAGGAUCUGCAGAGCUUGCCCACAGCUUCCCACCCCAGAGGCUGCCAGGAACUGUCGGGAUGCCAGGGCAGGCAGCUUCCCAUAGGUGCUGGAUUACAGGCAUGAACCACUGCACCCGCCCCGCCUGCGUUUUAGAAAAUUCCUUCUGGCUGUGGAGUUGCCCUGGACAAGACCAAAGCUCUCCACCCAUCCCGUGCCGUCGAGCUUCCCUCUUCCCGGGGCCUCUGCCCACCCUGUCCUGGGCUGAGCCUGCCUCCAGCUUCCUUCCUCCCUCA